GGCGCACGGGUGAGUAACGCGUGGAUAAUCUACCCAAUGGUCUGGGAUAACAUUUCGAAAGGGGUGCUAAUACCGGAUAAGACCACGGAGUCUUCGGGCUUUGCGGUAAAAGGUGGGGACCUUCGGGCCUACCGCGAUUGGAUGAGUCCGCGUACCAUUAGCUAGUUGGUAGGGUAAAGGCCUACCAAGGCGACGAUGGUUAGCUGGUCUGAGAGGAUGAUCAGCCACACUGGAACUGAGACACGGUCCAGACUCCUACGGGAGGCAGCAGUGGGGAAUUUUGCGCAAUGGGGGAAACCCUGACGCAGCAACGCCGCGUGAGUGAUGAAGGCCUUCGGGUCGUAAAGCUCUGACAGAGGGGAAGAAGUGAAGUGGUGCUAAUACCAUCAUUUUUUGACGGUACCCUCAAAGGAAGCACCGGCUAACUCCGUGCCAGCAGCCGCGGUAAUACGGAGGGUGCAAGCGUUGUUCGGAAUUAUUGGGCGUAAAGCGCGUGUAGGCGGUCAGUUAAGUCUGAUGUG
rnacentral:rRNA from 1 species